rnacentral:rRNA from 1 species
CCUACGGGUGGUAGCAGUGGGGAAUAUUGGACAAUGGGGGCAACCCUGAUCCAGCCAUGCCGCGUGUGUGAAGAAGGCCCUCGGGUUGUAAAGCACUUUCAGUGAGGAAGAACGCCUGGUGGUUAAUACCCAUCAGGAAAGACAUCACUCACAGAAGAAGCACCGGCUAACUCCGUGCCAGCAGCCGCGGUAAUACGGAGGGUGCGAGCGUUAAUCGGAAUUACUGGGCGUAAAGCGCGCGUAGGUGGCUUGAUAAGCCGGUUGUGAAAGCCCCGGGCUCAACCUGGGAACGGCAUCCGGAACUGUCAAGCUAGAGUGCAGGAGAGGAAGGUAGAAUUCCCGGUGUAGCGGUGAAAUGCGUAGAGAUCGGGAGGAAUACCAGUGGCGAAGGCGGCCUUCUGGACUGACACUGACACUGAGGUGCGAAAGCGUGGGUAGCAAACAGGAUUAGAUACCCGGGUAGUC